UACGAAGGGGCUAGCGUUGCUCGGAAUCACGUGGCGUAAAGCGCACGUAGGCGGACUCUUAAGUCAGGGGUGAAAUCCUGGAGCUCAACUCCAGAACUGCCUUGAUACUGGGAGUCUUGAGUCCGGAAGAGGUAAGUGGAACUGCGAGUGUAGAGGUGAAAUUCGUAGAUAUUCGCAAGAACACCAGUGGCGAAGGCGGCUUACUGGUCCGGUACUGACGCUGAGGUGCGGAAAGCGUG
rnacentral:rRNA from 1 species